ensembl:lncRNA
CACGUUUGUAAUAUACAUGUACAUUGUUUUCAAAGAACCAGGUGUGGCGCAUUCACCAGCACACCUCUGCUUACAGGGACAUAUAUAGAUACACUAAGUUUCUAUGGUUUGAAGAGUCCGGACACGGCUUCACUGGGUCCUCUGCCCAGUGUCUUACGGGACUGCAAUCAACAUGCCACCUAGGCUGAAGUCUCAUUUGAAGAAUUAACUGGAGAAUCAUCUUCUUGCAAGCUCAUUCAGGUGGGUCGUGCCUGUCUGGUUUAAAGUUGUAGUCUCAGCCCUCUGCACAGUACCUGCCACAUGACUGACACUGAUAAACAUCUGCUGAAUGAGAAUUCCGGAGCACCACUGCAAACCAUUACAUGUCUCUCAGCUGGUAAGAGCAACAACUUAAAAAUGUGUAGGUGUCAUUGUAUAUGUACUCUGUGCUCGAGUCAGAGUCCCUGGCUAUUUCUUGGCACCCUUAACAGGUACUCAGGUCUCCUUAUUUCUUACCUGGAGGAUUUCAGUGCCUGCCAGCGCAUCUCCUGUCUCCACU